rnacentral:lncRNA from 1 species
UCAGUCCAAUUGCUUUAUUUUGUUUCUUAUUAUUUAUUUAUUUUAUUUUAUUUGCGUUAUAGUGUUUUCUGACAUUGGGGACAAUGUCAAGUUUAAGUGUGGGGGUAGAAAUCUCUAGAAUUUCAUUUGUUUCUGUGUUGUUGCUUUUUGUUUUCUUUAAAAAUAAAAAAUAAAAAAAAUCGGAAAAUUUAAAAAUCCAAAAAUAUUGUCUUGUUUCCCUUAUUGUUUUGAAUUAGAUUUUUGUUAGUUUCCCGACCCAAUGAUAUAAUUGGAUCAGAUUCGAACCAUGAUCAUCAAGAACUUAGUUAACAUGUGUUUUGUGAAAUUCCUUAUUCUCUUGUUAGUUUUGUACAUGUUUGACCAUCUUUGAAAAACCAAAUGCACAUAGCCUUGUUAAUGUGAAACUAAAGUAUGACUUAAAGCUUCAUAUGUGAAUUUAGUGACCAUAUACAUCCUAUGUGAGUUUUUGAGCCUAUUGAAAGUGUGUGCAUUUUUCAUACACUCCUAUUUUUUUUAUGUGUGAUGAACUUAUGUGAGAUACAUCUCUAGAACUUGCGUAACGAUCUUUCGAAAUGUUUGU